GCUUGUCUCAAAGAUUAAGCCAUGCAUGUCUAAGUAUAAGUAUUAUACAGCGAAACUGCGAAUGGCUCAUUAAAACAGUUAUGGUUUAUUUGAUAAUCGAAUUUUACAUGGAUAACCGUGGUAAUUCUAGAGCUAAUACAUGCUGGUGUGCCUGACUUUUCGGAAGGGCGGUAUUUAUUAGAUAAAAAUCAACUUUGUUGGUGAAUCAUAAUAACUUCUCGGACCGCAUGGCCUCGUGCUGGCGGUGCUUCAUUCAAAUAUCUGCCCUAUCAACUGUCGAUGGUAGGAUAGAGGCCUACCAUGGUUGCAACGGGUAACGGGGAAUAAGGGUUCGAUUCCGGAGAGGGAGCCUGAGAAACGGCUACCACAUCCAAGGAAGGCAGCAGG
rnacentral:rRNA from 1 species